AUAUGGAGGAAAGUAAAUGGGCUGGGAGAGUGUUCAGGUAUCUGUACAGGCAAAACAUUGAUUCACAGUGGAGGAAAAGAACUAGGAAGCUUACCAGCAAGUAUGCGGCCUGUGGGGUGGGCAACACAGCAACAAAGAAGGUCAAGCGGAAAGUCAGAGAGGCUGAAUUAAUCUCAUGGGUGGCGGCAAUGGAAAAGAAACCUGCCAUGAGUAACUACUUAAGGGGAAAAAACGAAAUUAGGAAAGAAACCAUUUAUGAUAACUCAAAGGGAAGCUCAUUACUUUUCGAAGCGAGAUCGGGAUGCCUUAGAACACGCACCUAUAAAGCGAGAUAUAAGAAUGAAGAAGAAACAUGUGCUUGCUGCGGUAAAGCUAGGGAAACGACGGAACAUAUUUUAUUAGAAUGUGAGGACGUCUACCCAGCGGUCGAUUUAGGCACCACUGGCCUCCUUGAAGCCCUUGGGUUCAGCGGGAGCAGUGGUAAAGCAAACAGGUCCGCAAUAGACAUCAGUAAGAGGCGAUUGGAGGAUUGGUGGAAGAAAAGUAGGGAAACGACAAAAGACGGAGACGUACAAAAGCACAGUUCGCAAUAGGGUAUCAGAAAAUUUGGACGUGGUACUUCAUAGUGGUUUUUUUUUUUUUUUUUCCACUGGUGAAAAUAGGUAGGAUAUUAGGCAGGAUAGUAGUAAGAGGUUGGUGGCGCAAGCCACCGCCCCGUUCCAAAGGGGACGCUCAUAACAUCCAUCCAUCCAUUUUAUCUUACAAACUUUCUCUUACAAUUACCGAAGCAUUUUCUUUUACAUAAAAACAGGGCAAAAUUAUCAUUGCUAAUUAGAUAUUGUGCUCUUUGUUAGUAAGUUUAUUGUUUCUUCGCCAUUAUAAACGCAAAUAGCGUUCAGCAUCAUCGAUCUUUCACGUGACCUCUGGCCUGGACACGGCCUGGAUUUAAAAUUUGGCGUAAGCUGCUGACACGCACGUGGUAGUAGCGAAAUGCCAUACUAAAACGCUGCUGCCACGCACGGAAGUGACGUCAGAGUUAUGAUGACGUUGUUUAAACAAGUAUGACGUGUUCCGGUUUAUAGUUUUGCGCGCGCUGCUGGAGCUGCUUCAGCUUUUCAGCUUAGCUAAGACACAAUUUUACGGUUUCUUACUGUAUUGUGUGCUAGAAUGUUGUUCUAGUUGCGCUGGAAGAAUCGGAUGGUGUUCGAACUUGCGAUCACGAGCGACACUUGGACGCAACGCUGGAGCAGCUCGUUUCCUUAUGCCUUGCAGAGCGUUUAUGGUUGGUAGUGUGGUCUUAUGUAGCUCCUGUUACGUUUUUCAGUGCUCUUGUUUGUUGAAUUUGCUGUUGUGAAUGGGGCACAUGUUGGCUUUCAGUAUGGCAGAACUUUUUUCUCUUAUGGUAAAAACGUUUAAACGCGUUCUAAACUCUUGUCGCUGCAGCCAGAGUGCGGGAAGCCUCGAGCUCGCUUCUUCCCGGCGCCGCCCCGGCUUCGAGGGCCGCCGGGGACCUUCUCCAUCGGCGUUGCCGCCGCUGGGAGACGACUCUCAAAAGUUCAGAGUUGGCAGACCGCAGCUCUGGGCCAUCCGGCAAGCCGAAGGUGCCGCUCGAGUUCAAGGACUUCGAGCCGCCACCUGACAAAAACUGCCGGACCAUUCUCUAUUAAAGUUUCUUCUUCAUCCUUCGUAGGAUUGCUGUUGCAUAUAUUGCCCGACACCAAACCGAAGAAGUUGUCGAUCACUUUGGACUUUUCUCAAACAGGGUGUUGUCCGGUGAUUGAAUUUCUCUUCACACAAGGACAGAUUGUGAAGGAGAUUUCGUAAACUAUCAGCAGCAGUAGAGAACGAGGCACAAAGAAUAAAGGAAAGUGAUGCACCCAAUUUUCUGUUAUUUACUAUGUUGUGAAGGAAGCAGACAGUGAAGCUGGACAAUAUGUAGGGGAAAUCAUAAUGUAGAAAUAAUAAGUAAAGAGGAAGUGAAAGUUGAUAGAAAGACAACUUGCUGAAGGUGGGAGCCGAACCACCAUACUGUGCAUUAAGCAUGUCGUGCAUUGCCAAUUAAGCUACUGAUGUGGUCGUCCUCCCAUUUACUUGGCUAUCUGUGUAUGUGUAAGGGGUAGUCCUGGGAGGGUUGGCCAGCACUGCUUCUCUCGGCCAUGUCAGGGGAUGUGGAACAUCUCUAACUGAUGAUGUCAAAUUGUAUGACUUCAGGAUUAGGCAACUGGACAACAAGCCCUUAAAUGCUCCCUCAUGGCAUCAAGGCAGCCAAAGAAAAUACCUUUGACCAGUUGCUUGCUGCAAAGCUGAUUUACUAUGUGACUCCUGUUCUUAAAAAGGGAUGUUCCACAUGUGCUGUUGUUGGCUACGAGUGGUCCUGGCUAGCACUACUAGUGCUCUUUUUGUAUGUGUACACAAAUACCUAAGAAAGUGAACAAGGGAGGGCCCUCAUGACAGCUUAACUGGUAUAGCACAGUACGUAUAAUGUGGUUCAGCUCCCACCUUUUCAUCCACUUUCAUUUCCUUUAUUUCUACAUUUCAAUGAAACACAAUUUCCCCUGUGCUUUCUCUGGCUUUGUAGUCUGUUUUUUCAUAUAGUAAAAAGAAGGCUGCCUCAAGUUCAUACAGGCCGCUUCAGUAUUUUUGUACAAUCCCAUAAGAAAAGGCUUUUGUUCCCCUCGGCUAAAGAAAUACAGAAUCCAGGUUUGUGCAAUUUAUCUGAUAUGUCCACAUUUUGGGACAAAGUCUUCAUGGACUAUUUG